ACCCUUCCCUCUGUAACAGCUUCACGACCUCCAUCAUCAUCAUCAUCAUCUUCAUCAUCAUUAUCAAGAUCC
rnacentral:sRNA from 1 species